rnacentral:tRNA from 1 species
AAAAUCCGUCGACUUUAGAAAUCGUGAGGGUUCAAGUCCCUCUAUCCCCCCAAAAAGACCGAUUUGACUAUUUCUCCUACCCUCUCUUUUUUUUAGUGAUUCAAAAUUCGUUCUCUUUCUCAUUCAUUCUACCUUUUUACAAACGUAUCAGAGCAGAAUUUUUUUUUUAUCACAAUCACAAGUGGUGUGGUAUAUAUGAUAUACGUACAAAUGAACAUCUUUGAACAAAGAAUCCCGAUUCACAAUUCAUAUCAUUGCUCAUACUGAAACUUAUAAAUUAUUCUAUUCAAGAAAUCGAAUUCCACGCUCAAGACUUUUAAUACUUUUUUAAUUGACAUAGACCCCAGUCAUCUAGUAAAAUGAGGAUGAUGCGCCGGUAAUGGUCGGGAUAGCUCAGCUGGUAGAGCAGAGGACUGAAAAUCCUCGUGUCAC